UGCACUUGCAGUUUAUGCCCUUGGAAAGUUAAUGAAUAAAAAGGAAGAUCAGAGUCAGCUUUCUGCAAUUGCAAUGCAAGGUUCAGGCAGUGCUUCAGAGGAGACUUGAAAGUGCCAAUCAUAUAUCAGCUUUAUUUAGCAAAGGUAUUGGAUUAUGUGGCUGGUCGAGAGCUUAAGAAAGAUGAAGUGUGGCUAGUUGAGAGAGCAGUUUAGAGCACUAGAUGAUCUGGUAUUUUCAUAUUAUGUGGGUUUAACUUGUAGAAUUAUAGUUUGAUUGAUUGAUGUAAUGGGAUCUGGAUACUUGUACAUUUUCAAAUGAAAUUAAUUAUAAUGAUAAUUUGAUUGAA